GCUCAGAGUAUAAGCCAAUGGAGCUUGGAAGGCUUCCGCAGAUGGUGUCCAUCAUACGUGGUGUUCUUAAGACCUUGAGUGUGGCUCGUCAGGCGAAGCAUUGAGUUUGCCGGGUAGCUGUCGUGCGGGGGGUUCGGCUUGGAGGUCUCAGGCUUCGGCCGAAAGGCUUCCGGUUGUCCCCUUUUGAAUGGGCGUUCAGAGCUCUUGUGUCUAAUGCGGUUAUGCCCACCACAGCACGUUGUGAGGUCACCCACAGGCUCAAACUGCCGAUCGCGCAUCCAGGACGAUGGCAACGAUGCGUUGUUGAUGAUGGCUCGAGAGAGACUUCACUCACACGCGUGUCUAGUCCUGGGUCGGGCGGCGACCGAGAUAAACCUGGUAUGAUCCUCUUGCGACGAGCUGCUUUCUGGCCAGACCGACGCCCAGGCACCUCCACUGUGCCGGAAGUGCCAAUCCCAGGCGGUGUGAACCCAGCUGCAUUAUGCAAGGUCUCUCAGCCGGGCGUUGGUCUGAGUGGUGUUAAGUCCAGCACCAUCGGUCACGUCUCGAAACACGGGCCAAGGAGUAUAGCAUGUGUGCAAGUCUAAGGGUCUCACAAAACCCGAAGGCGAAGUGAAAGCAAGACUGUGGCGGGGGAGCUACGGCAAACCCGCCGGCCUAGUGGCGCGUGCGUCGCCUGGCUUUUAGCAGAGCUGAUCCUGUUUUCUCGGUUAAUUCUUGGUGCAGGCGCAAGCUCCGGGCUCACGUACAACUCUGGUCACGCCUCGCG
rnacentral:rRNA from 1 species